CGCGCCGCGGUGGUGCGUGUCCCUGGGAGGGGAGCCGGGGACGUCCCGGGGCGGCGGGGAGCAAGGCAGCGGUGCUAAGCCCGCAUUUCGGGGUGCCCCGGGAGGUGGAGAGGGGCCCGGGGUGCGGAAGGUGUCAGCCCCCUGCCCAGGCUGCCUGUCCCGGGGUGUGCACAGCUGGUUGUUUUGAGGGUGUCGGGGAGCCUGCUGUGAGAUCUGAGAGUGGAUCUUGGGUGUUUUGGGGGGACCCAGGAAGGUACCCCCUGGGGAAGAUUCUGUGUAUAAAAGGGUUUCUCUUCCCAAGGUUUUCCACGCAGGAGACAGUGGAGUACAUCUCCCCCAGGGAUGUCCCACCCCUAGGCAAAGGAAACCCCAACUUUUCUUCUGCUCCCUAGAGACAGCACAAGACUGGCUCUAAGACAGAAGGCAGGUCCUCUUGGGUCUGCAGGAAAGGGAGCCCCUCAUCCCUCACACCAAGCCUGUCUCCUCCUCUUCCAGGAUUUGCUACUGUCUCUGCUGUUCCCUCCUCCCCACAGGGGCCCUCUCCCCUCUCCCAUCUCAAGAUGGCAGCCAGCAGUUCUGAGGUCUCUGAGAUAAAUGGGUUGCAGGAGAGUCCCAAGAGCCAGGGAGAAGGAGCUGGCCAUUCUCAAGCUGGAGCUGGCUCUCUCCAGGUCCAGGCAGAGGUCCUAGACCAGCCAGGAGCCCUGCCGCCAAGCGCAGUCACCACUGCAGCCCCUGCGGAGUCAGGGCCCAACAGUGGGCUGGCCCCUGAGACCACAGAGACCCCAGCUGGGGCCCCAGAAACAGCCCGGGCCACAGACCUCAGCUUACACUCAGGAGGGGAAUCCAAGGCCAGCUCCGGCCCCGAAGAAGUAUGCCAAGAACCAGCAUCCAAACCAGAGGCAAACAAAGAGGCUCCUGCCAGAGCAGACCCGAGGUCUGAGCAGGAGUCUGCAGCCCUUCCUGAGCCAACCUCCCAGGCAGCUCCCCACCCAGACCCUCAGCCAGCUUCCCAGCCCACCUCCAAAUCAGUGCUUCAGUCAGUACCCCCUCCUCAGGAGGACCCCACCCCAGGGGUCCAGACAGACAGUAUAGGGGAAAAGCAGGAGAACGGAGCAGUGGUCCCUCUGCAGGCUGGGGAUGGAGAAGAGGGCCCAGCCCCCCAGCCUCACUCACCACCCUCCACCAAAACACCCCCAGCCAACGGAGCGCCCCCUCGCGUGCUACAGCAGCUGGUUGAGGAGGACCGAAUAGGAAGGGCCCACGGUGGGCAUCCAGGAUCUCCCCGAGGUAGCCUCAGCCGCCACCCCAGCUCACAGUUGGCAGGGUCUGGGGUAGAAGGGGGUGAAGGCACCCAGAAACCUCGGGACUACAUCAUCCUUGCCAUCCUGUCUUGCUUCUGCCCCAUGUGGCCUGUCAACAUCGUGGCCUUCGCUUAUGCCGUCAUGUCCCGGAACAGCCUGCAGCAGGGGGACGUGGAUGGGGCCCAGCGUCUGGGCCGUGUGGCCAAACUCUUAAGCAUCGUGGCGCUGGUAGGGGGGGUCCUCAUCAUCAUUGCCUCCUGCGUCAUCAACUUAGGCGGUGAGUGAAGGUCUGGGACAGGCAAGGGAGGAGUGGAAGGGUUGGUGAGGGCAGCUUUACUAACCCCUGCCCCUGCUCUCUCCUGUCUGUCUUCCCCACUUAUUCCUUUGUCUCUCCUUGUCUCCCCUUCUUCCUCGUCUGUCUGUCUUCUGUCUGUCCUA